rnacentral:rRNA from 1 species
UAAGGAAUAUUGGUCAAUGGGCGCAAGCCUGAACCAGCCAUGCCGCGUGCAGGAAGACGGCCCUACGGGUUGUAAACUGCUUUUGUACCGGAAUAAACCCUUUUACGUGUAAGAGGCUGAAUGUACGGUAAGAAUAAGGAUCGGCUAACUCCGUGCCAGCAGCCGCGGUAAUACGGAGGAUCCAAGCGUUAUCCGGAUUUAUUGGGUUUAAAGGGUGCGUAGGCGGCCUGUUAAGUCAGGGGUGAAAGACGGUAGCUCAACUAUCGCAGUGCCCUUGAUACUGACGGGCUUGAAUGCAGCUGAAGUGGGCGGAAUGUGACAAGUAGCGGUGAAAUGCAUAGAUAUGUCACAGAACACCGAUUGCGAAGGCAGCUCACUAAAGUGCGAUUGACGCUGAGGC